rnacentral:lncRNA from 1 species
UGGAUCACUGCGGAGUAGAAUUGCAUCAGUAGCUCCUGUGGCAGGUUGAACUACUUCAGCUGGCGAAGGAAGUAGAACCUCUGCUGGGCCUUCUUCACAAUGGAGUCUAUGUGGGGCUCCCACUUCAGGUCCUGUGAGAUGGUGGUGCCCAGGAACCUGAAUGACUCCACUGUUGCCACAGUGCUGUUCAUGAUGGUGAGUGGGGAUAAUGCUGAGGUGUUUCUCCUAAAGUCCACAGUCAUCUCCACUGUUUUGAGCAUGUUCAGCUCCAGGUUGUUAUGACUGCACCAGACAGCCAGCUCUUGGACCUGCGGUGGGCACUUUAUUAGUUAUGCAGUCAGACACUUUGAUUGUCAUGGAUGAAGAGGGUUUUUUUUUUUUUUUUUUUCUUCCCCUCCCCUCUUCUCCCCAUCAACCUUUGCCCCCUCUGUUCUGUGGCUGAAGUGAGGUCUUCAACUUAUUUCUGAAGAAGCAGGUUUUCAUGUUUGAAGUUGUGAUAUCAAGUUGUCUUUCUCCAUUUUCCUUAUACUUUGCUGCUGAAACACUUGGUGCUUUUUCUUGAAGUUUGCUGUGCGAAUGCUUCAGUCUUCUGUUGCGACUUUUUUUCUGUGACUCAUUGUAGAGGGCAUUCCCAUAUAACAUAUCCUUAAGCUUUUUGAUCUUUUUUCCAACUCUUUCUCUGAAUAGCUUGGUUUACACACCUUCUUGGGGUCUGAAGCUGUCCUUUUAAUUCUCCCACUUUUUCUUUGUAUUGCUUCUUCAUUGUUUUGUAGUUUGUUGAGACAAAGUCCAAUCAUUGCCUCAUCUUUGCCUUCCACGGAGUGAGCGGGUCACCGCGAUGACUCAUUGAACUGGCGGAGGACCCUGGCUCUGAAUGAACUUCAUGGUGGCUGUCUGGAGUGCUGGUCAUUGUGGCAGAAUGUUUCCGCAGUUAAUGUUUCCUUUGUGCUGGGUGAAACAGGAGGAACUUGUGGAACUGGCAGUUGGGCCACUGGAGCCGUUAACUCUGGAUCAACAGCCUGAAAGAGGUGAAACUGCUCAUCGCAUAUUGUUGAGAAUCUUCCAGAUUCUUGUGGUUGUUUUAGAAAACUGAGGGUCUUCAGCCCGUCGCGUGGAGCGGCCACGGAGAAGGAGAACCCGAUAGCGCUUCGUGCUACUGACAACGCACCAAGUUCCUCGGGCCUCGCUGGAGUUCUCAUUCGCUCCUGAAACGCGAAUGGAUGAGCCUGACUUCUUGAUUUUUGCAUGGACAGCAGACGAGGUAAACUGUGGGUUUUCCCCCCCUUGCUCUUGAGAGUGAAUCGGCCAUUAUAUUUUUGGUCUCAACGUGCUCAAGUUGCGAUCAGGCCUGCAACGUAAGGGUGUUUUUCAUAAAGUUCAAAUAUUCCGGAGUAUCCCAGAUACUAGUGUUAUUGUGUUUGAGAGUGAGAUGGUUUUCAAAGAAACUUCUAGACUAUGUUUUACAUGAGGGUAUAACUGUGGUGUACUUGCUGUUUGUAAUACUUGCUGUGGAGGCUUUUAUUUUAUUAAUGUUUUAGUUGUUUGCAUUUAUUUCAGUAAUCUGCUGAAGGGACUUUGGGUAAACAUUUGUGUAUUGAACAACACAAUUCUUCAGGGCAAAAGUUUAUUUGGUUUUUUUCUGUUUACAGAGUUUGAGAUAAUUGGAUGUUCAUCCUGUUACAACACUGUUUUGGGUUAUAAUAUUUCAGUCUUUAGAACAGAACCCAGGGCACCGCCCUCAUAGUCAUAAGUCCUGAAGUGUUUUCACACUAGUAUCAAGUUGACUUACUGCAAUGACUAACCUUCCAAGUUCUCGCAUUUUUUGAGCAAUGUAUGCAUGCUGUGUGUUGUCAUGACCAUGCUUUACUUAAAGCAUAUUCCCAUAUUUAUAUAUUAAUUUAUCACUUUUGACAUGCAUAGAAAUUUCAUCAGAUUGCAUCUUCAGUUAUAUUACUUUGCACUCUCCAACAUCCUCAUCAGGUAAAGGAACAAGAUGCAUGGAUGCUGCUUGUACUCGCUUUCUUAUAGAAGACUUAGACUCUACCUUAAGUCUGCAAGAGCCUUCAUGCCUCUAAAGGUCCUUCUUCAAGAAAAAACCAAAACAGUGCUGACGGAAUAUAAUCACUUGCAGAUGUACUGGUUGAAGGCUGUUUCCAAGUGACAAGUUCACCACAACCCUCUUUGAGAACUUUAAGGUUAUGAUAGUAGUCCCCCUUGAUGCGAAGUUGUGCAAGCAGUUUCUUUCUAGGGUUUGAACCUUUGUUAAAGCUAAAAACAUGUGCCACUUCUACCUUUGUUGAGUGCCAUUGUUCGAGGUGACAAGCCAUUUUUGUGUUUGGUUUGUGACAACAAACACAAUAGUGUUUUUUAUCCCAUUUCCGCUUACCUUCCAAUGUCUUGCUAGUUUGUUUUACAGUUAUUGAUUUUUUACUAAAGUGUCCAACUGUAGGAGGCUGAGAAUUCAGGGUAGUUUGGUCACAAUCAAAACAUUCUGAUGUGGAGUCAGACUUACUGUUGGAUGGUUGAUAUUCUGAUCUGCUAGAGACUGACUUCAAAUUCUUCCGCAAAAUUAUCAUUGUACCGUGCUCUGAUGUCUCUCUGCUCUGAUGAAUUUUCAUGUGAGUCUUCAUCUAAAUUAUUAGCAACUCCACAUUCCAUUUCAGAUGCUGAUUUUUUCUGAUUCAGAUUCAGAUUUUUUUCUGACAUUGACCUAAAGUAACAAACACAUCUGUAAGCAUUUGGACUACUAAUGAAUACAUAUAUAAGGGACAGACAUUUAACAGGUUUUAAAACAAAUUUUUUUUUUUUAUCAUCUGGCUUACUGACAAGUAUCAAGAAUGUAAAAUUUUGAUAUCAAAACAGGAAUUUCUAAAAUAACUCACACACACACACACACACACACACACACACAUUUUCGGAACCGCUUGUCCCAUACGGGGUCGCGGGGAACCGGAGCCUACCCGGUAACACAGGGCGUAAGGCCGGAGGGGGAGGGGACACACCCAGGACGGAACACUAGUCCGCCGCAAGGCACCCCAAGCGGGACUCGAACCCCAGACCCACUGGAGAGCAGGACCAGGACCAACCCACUGCACCACCACGCCCCCUCUAAAAUAACUCAAUUACUGAUAUGAAAACACGUUUAAAAUAAUGUAAAAUACCUGGAAAUAAAAUCUGAAAUUCUGAACUUCCGUCUCA